rnacentral:tRNA from 1 species
CGCAGGAUAGAGCAGCCUGGUAGCUCGUUGGGCUCAUAACCCAAAGGUCGGAGGUUCAAAUCCUUCUCCUGCAACCA